ensembl:lncRNA
AUGGAGUUGAUCGUUUUCAUAGUGAUUCAGCUCCUGAUGGAGGUUCAGUCCUACACAUCUCCUAGUGUAAAAGUAUCUCCAGAUGUCAUAAGAGAGUCCAGCUCAGUGAAGAUCAGCUGUGAGACACCAGCAGAUGUUCCUGUGAAUCAGUGUUACUUCUACAUAAACAGUGAGGAGAAGAAUGUAAAACCCAGUUGGAGAUGUGAGCUGGAUCUCACUGGUGCUGAAGUGUUCAGAUGGGCAGCUAUAAAAUCACCUGGAUCACUCAACAUUAUCUGUUACUACACAAUACAGGGGAUUGAUAAAACAUUCAAUCAUUCUCCUCCUGCCACAGUGACGGUUCGAGGUGAGAAAUUUCAGCCUGGUUUCAUUGUUUGUAUGUAGGUAUUUUAAGUCCUGCUGUAAGUUCUGCUUUAAUUAUAAUGUUAGCGGAAGACCAGAUUAACCAACUGAGGAAUAGCAUUAGUUCGGCAGAACUUGAUUUGCAUUCGUUGAAGCAAUAGACUGCUGUGGAGUAGUCACAAUGGAAGAAAAUACUUUGGAGGCCCAUCUUUCAACCACAGGUUAGUGGACAUGAUGGGUGUGUGUAUAUUAAUUAGCCCGAACCAAGCAGACCAUUUCCAGAAUAAGCAGAAGAAAAUGCUUUACACGCAGCCCAUGCAUGUACAUGUCCGAGAGAGAUGUGGUAGUGCUGAUUUUACUUGCUGAUUUAAUAUAUUUAGUAUAAAGAUCUCAAAUUAUUAUUGAACACAUUUCAAUAUUAUUUUCCUUUAAUCAUUUCUUGCACAAAGCAUCUGUGACAUUAACAUAUGAAUAUUCAUACAGUGGUUUAAUAAUAUCAUAUUGUGGACUUCAAAAGUGUAUGUCAUAAACAAUUUGUAGAAUUCUGCCAGAAGAAGCAGCCAUGACGAACAACCAAUUUAUACAGAAGCAGCUAAUAACCAACUAAACUGGAAUUCAUGAAUGGAAUUCCAAGCAAGCAAUUUCAUGAUGCACAGUAGUGUUGUAAAAAAUAACCGACUUCGGGACCAGACCAGUCGGUACUGAAAUGUAAAAAAUGUCCAUUUCCUGCUAGCAUUUGAGCACUGUUGAGCGGAUUCUUAAACACAGCUGUGUGGCCAUUGUGUUCAUGGCAUGCACCAUUGUAUGCAUUAAUUAGGUCUUUGUCAGGCCAAGUUUCAGUUAUUCUGGAAACAGAUAAAGUUCCGCUGAACUGUAAUAAUGAAAAUCAGAAUACAGAGAUGUGAGCUCAUGGUGUCAGCUCUCACUCACUGGAUCUCAGAUCAGUAUUUGUUCUGAAGGUCAGACUUGAUCUGUGGAAAUAACUUGUUUCUACACUGUAAAGAAGAGAAGUUCAAAAAGGAAGUUCAAAAAUGGUCUCCUCACUCUGAUCCAGUGAAAGUAAGGGUGCUUUCACACCUGCCUCAUUUAGUUCGGUUGAAUCGUACCAGAUUUCGUUUCCCCCUUUGGUGCGGUUCGUUUGGGCAGGUGUGAAAGCAGCAAUCGCAAUCGGGUGCGCACCAAAUGUGGACCAAACAAGCGUACCGAGACCUGCUUGAAGAGGUGGUCUCGGUACGCUUUCAAACGAACUCUGGAGCGGUUCGUUUGUGGUGAGAACGUGAUCCGGCCUCGAACAGACCCAACUGCAAAAAGUACUGAUCAUUUUUGGACUAAACCAGCUGCCGUAGUCAGCUGUGCUGUGCAUUAUGGGAUGAGGAAGUGUUUGUUGACAGUUUGCACUUUAGCAUGGCAGCUCGUGGAUUAAUGCAUGCCUCCGCUUGAAGUUACGAGCGAUGCCUGCUCGCCGUUUGCAGUGCAUUAGAACGUUGUUUUCAAGCCGCAUCCGCGCUUCAUUAUAGAAAUUAAUUGUUUGCAUAUUGUGGUGUAUACAAACAAUGUAAUAGAUUAUGGCCAGGGACAAAACCAUCCCGCUCAGUCAGGGACGGACUGGGACUAAAAAACGGCCCUGGACUUUGACUAGGCCCGGCCCAAAGCAAUCGGCGUGCGGCCUGGCAUGAGUGUCACAAGACUUUAAUUGUGGCUCAUGAUACUAUACCAUCCAAAUUAUAGCAAUAGCACUGAUGUUGACUAGAUGUUGAGCUGGAGUGGGUGUCUUUCUCUGCUCUUGGUCUAAGCUCAACCCGAAUAAACAAAUGAUGGAAUGGAUUAAAAAAAAAAAA